AUGGCGGCCUUGCUUCGGUUUGCAGCGAGGAAGGUCUGCAGCCGCGCCAGCCUUGAGCGACUACCGCAGGUCAGCUUCACUGCGACCACGUCGCUUGCCGUCGUAAAGGAGCUGGAACAGCAGCGGACGCUGCCCUGGACGAUUCUUUUCCAUGGCCGGGUGAGCUCGCUUCGCUGGUUCAGCAGCUCCUCCGAAUCACCAGACAAGAUCCUUGCGGCACAAGUGGAGGACAAGAAACAAGAGUUGCGCCGUCUGCUUCGUCGGCUGGAUGAGCUCCGCACCGAGAAAUGCGCCAUCGCCGCCAGGGAGAAGGAGAAAAAAGUUUCCGAGAAAAAGAAACACAAGGAAAAUAAGAAGCUCCUCCACCUGCUUUCAUUGGGCGACCCACUGUAUCAGCUGUCUCGUCAGGUUCCAAUCGUGGGUACCCUGCUUAUCAUGAGCUUGGUAAUCCUUGUCAUUUUACUUGUGUGUGAGGAGGAUUAUAGGGCUUCAAAAAAGCGUGGGCAGACACCUCGGCACCUACCAUCUACCUAA
rnacentral:rRNA from 1 species